AUGCAAGUCGAGCGGAGACAGCGAGUAGCAAUACGAACUGUUUUAGCGGCGGACGGGUGAGUAACGCGUGAGCAACCUGUCCCAAACAGGGGGAUAACGAACCGAAAGGUUCACUAAUACCGCAUAAGACCACAGAGUCACAUGGCUCAGGGGUCAAAGGAGAAAUCCGGUUUGGGGUGGGCUCGCGUCUGAUUAGCUAGUUGGUGGGGUAACGGCCUACCAAGGCGACGAUCAGUAGCCGACCUGAGAGGGUGAUCGGCCACAUUGGGACUGAGACACGGCCCAGACUCCUACGGGAGGCAGCAGUGGGGAAUUUUGGACAAUGGGCGCAAGCCUGAUCCAGCCAUGCCGCGUGCAGGAUGAAGGCCUUCGGGUUGUAAACUGCUUUUGUACGGAACGAAAAGGUGCCUUCUAAUAAAGGGCGCUCAUGACGGUACCGUAAGAAUAAGCACCGGCUAACUACGUGCCAGCAGCCGCGGUAAUACGUAGGGUGCGAGCGUUAAUCGGAAUUACUGGGCGUAAAGCGUGCGCAGGCGGUUUUGUAAGACAGAGGUGAAAUCCCCGGGCUCAACCUGGGAACUGCCUUUGUGACUGCAAGGCUGGAGUGCGGCAGAGGGGGAUGGAAUUCCGCGUGUAGCAGUGAAAUGCGUAGAUAUGCGGAGGAACACCGAUGGCGAAGGCAAUCCCCUGGGCCUGCACUGACGCUCAUGCACGAAAGCGUGG
rnacentral:rRNA from 1 species